rnacentral:rRNA from 1 species
ACGGAAGGCAGCAGUGAGGAAUAUUGGUCGAUGGGCGCAAGCCUGAACCAGCCAAGUAGCGUGAAGGAUGACUGCCCCAUGGGUUGUAAACUUCUUUUAUAUGGGAAUAAAGUGAGCCACGUGUGGUUUUUUGUAUGUACCAUAUGAAUAAGCAUCGGCUAAUUCCGUGCCAGCAGCCGCGGUAAUACGGAAGAUGCGAGCGUUAUCCGGAUUUAUUGGGUUUAAAGGGAGCGUAGGCGGGUCCUUAAGUCAGUGGUCAAAGCGUGUGGCUCAACCAUACCACGCCGUUGAUACUGGGGACCUUGAGUGCACAUAAGGAUGGUGGAAUUCGUCGUGUAGCGGUGAAAUGCUUAGAUAUGACGAAGAGCUCCGAUUGCGAAGGCAGCUGACUGUAGCGUAACUGACGCUGAUGCUCGAAAGUGCGGGUAUCGAACAGGAUUAGAUACCCUGGUA